AAUUAGUUAUACUGUGUAUAAUUUUUAGUGGCUGAGAAAAAGAAGACAGCAUGCAAAAUGAAUAAAAGAACAUUUAAAAGAGAAGCUGGAGGAAUACAUGGUCCGUUUUGCCAAAGUGAGGAUUGUACGAACCAAGAAACGAGAAGGGCUCAUUCGAACCAGACUGCUAGGAGCCUCACUGGCUAGAGGAGAAGUCUUGACAUUUCUGGAUUCCCAUUGCGAAGUCAACGUGAAUUGGCUGCCUCCCUUGCUUAACCAGAUUGCACUUAACCACAAAACCAUCGUGUGUCCUAUGAUCGAUGUCAUUGACCACAAUCACUUUGGCUACGAGGCACAGGCGGGGGAUGCCAUGCGAGGAGCUUUUGACUGGGAAAUGUACUACAAAAGAAUACCGAUUCCUCCAGAGCUCCAGAGAGCUGAUCCCAGCGACCCCUUUGAGUCUCCUGUAAUGGCUGGAGGUCUAUUUGCUGUUAAUCGGAAAUGGUUCUGGGAGCUGGGAGGCUAUGAUCCAGGAUUAGAAAUAUGGGGAGGAGAGCAGUAUGAAAUCUCCUUUAAGGUGUGGAUGUGUGGAGGUGGCAUGUAUGAUGUUCCAUGCUCUCGAGUUGGACAUAUCUACAGGAAGUAUGUCCCAUAUAAAGUCCCUUCUGGAACCAGCCUAGCACGGAACCUGAAGCGUGUGGCAGAGACAUGGAUGGAUGAGUUUGCAGAGUACAUUUACCAGCGACGGCCUGAGUACAGACAUCUCUCAACUGGCGAUAUCUCUGCCCAGAAGGAGCUGCGCAAGCACCUGAAGUGUAAAGAUUUCAAGUGGUUCAUGGCUGCAGUGGCUUGGGAUGUCCCAAAAUAUUACCCACCUGUGGAACCUCCACCUGCUGCCUGGGGCGAGCCUCUACAAUUGCACAAAUAUGAAUGUUGGAAAUAUUCGAAACGUGGCAGCCAACCUCUGUGUGGACAGUAAACAUGGAGCCACAGGGACUGAGCUGAGGCUAGACAUCUGUGUGAAGGAUGGCUCAGAACGAACGUGGUCACAUGAACAGCUCUUCACCUUUGGUUGGAGAGAAGACAUCCGCCCUGGGGAGCCACUUCACACCAGGAAGUUCUGCUUCGAUGCCAUUUCGCACAGUAGCCCUGUCACACUGUAUGAUUGUCAUGGGAUGAAGGGAAACCAGCACUGGAGCUAUAGGAAGGACAAAACUUUAUUCCAUCCGGUAAGCAGCAGCUGCAUAGAUUGCAACCCAGCUGAGAAGAAGAUUUUCAUGAACAGAUGCGAUCCUUUAUCUGAAACUCAACAGUGGAUUUUUGAACAUAUUAAUAUGACUGUUUUAGAAAAAUUUAACAGCAAGGCCAGUUCCUAGAAAGAAAAAAAAGAGAAAAAAUGAACACACCUAUUUACGUACAGACUGCAGACUACGUUUUCGCCAGCAUCUGGGUCAAAGGAGUCAGGAAUUAAGUUUCCUAGAUCCAGGAAAUCUGUUCUGAGGAUUAAGAAAAUGCCACAGCAAGAGCCAGCAGGCUGUCCUUGUGGAUGUACAGUAUCUGGAGAACUUGGCCAAGAGCCUCACCGGAUGCUGCUGAGAACUUCAGGCUGAAAAUUCCCUUGCUGGUCAAGGGAAAAACUUUGUUUAAAAACUGUUUAAAAGUACUCCAAGUUAAUAAAGUAAAACAAAACUCUAGUUUCUCAGGUCAAAUCCUGCUGUAGUGAGUAGCUCAGAACAGGCGCUAUAAUUUGGGAUGGGUAUAUGGUGUGCAUGACAGCUACAGGAACCUGAAGAAAUCCCAGGUUUUAGAACUAAACAUGCUAGUAGAAGAAUAAUGAUGUCCCAGCACUCCCUAAACAAGAUAUAUGCUCUGUUGACAUUCUCUUAAUAAAAAGUUGGGUUAAGCAGGUUUAACCCUCAGAACUGCUGCAAUUAAUUUUAAAUACCUCCCUUUUACAUUCCAUUCAUUACCAAAAUAGGAAUGGUAGAAAUUUUAGGGUCUAGAAUUACACUGUAGUGAAGCAUGGAAUAAACUGUAAGGUUUUGCUCUCAUAUUUUCCCCUUCAGGAAAAAAAAAGUAAAGCAAUCAAAUCUCUAUACAUGAUAUAUUUAGCCAUUGUGAUUCAAAUCCCAUUGUCACAUAAGGUGAGAGGGUUUUUUUAGUGACAAAUAUAACAGCAGCAGUUGCAGCAUAGUGGAAGGCUCGUGGACUAGCUAUCUUUUCUACAGGUAGAAUCCUUGCCAACGUAUAAAUUAAAUUGAAAAUAGGCUGGGAAAAAAAAUCGGGAGAGUAGGAAAUAAUUGCAUACUGCAUGCUGAACUAGAUUAGUCAAAUUAACAAUGGUAUGUUGCCAUCACCUAAAAGUAUGUUGACUCCUUGCAGUGCAGCUUGAAAGAUCUUGCAGUGCUCUUGACAGAUAGGAAUGGAGAGAAAAAUUGACAUGAAAUCAGUUGGGUGGUUUCAAAGUUUUUGAAAUCUGUGAUGGAAAUCAUGUGAACUUUGCAGAGUUAGCAAGUGAAUGGUAUUGUAGAUAUCAGGAGAGAGGAAACAAGAUGUGCAAACAAGUUAAAUGUUACGAUAUUUUGACACUUUAGGCACAGGCACAAUUCACGGUAACACAGACUUCUGUCACCCAGAUGAUCAUUAUGGUAUCUCUCAGACUCAUCAAGCCAUUGGAGUGAGAGGCCUCUCAAACUUCUUUGGGAGGGUGUCUGUGGUUCUCCUCAGUUAAUACUGAUGUGUGGAACAUGACUAAUAGCUUUGAGAUUGUUCAAGGUAAGAGCGAGUAUAAAUUUAUAUCAAAUAUGUGACCUGCUUUUACUUGAAAGAUGAAUUCACAGAUGAAAGCACCAUAAAUGCAGAUAGAUCACAUGCUCUGUGCUGUAACUCCUUUCAGGUUCCAAAUAUAACAUUUGUAGUUAAGUUGCUUAUUCUGAUUGCUAAAGAGGUGGCCGACUAACCAAAAUACUGAUGUGCAAUCUACACUGUUUUGAGGGAGUGGAGUGACUGUUUUGUUUAUUUCUCUUUAAGCUGUGUUUAUGCACAAGAGCAUUGAUUGCAUCCAGAGGAUGGUUCUAAUACCAAUAACUGUGCUAUUUUAUGGCAGCACCUUGUAGUUGCAGGUCAUAGGAAAUUUUUAGGAGGGAAAUGAGAUCCUGUAGCAUUCAAGAUGCAUGCACUUGGAAAACUGUGAAAUGUGUCCAUGUAUUUAGCAAUUGCUGCAAGUUAGUGAAGAAAUCUUUCAAAUAAUUUGAAAGAAAAAUAUCUACAGAGAUAGAUUUCUCAUUUUAUGAUUUUAAAAUAAGUGAGAUUGUUCAAGUAUUGUUUAAAUUUGAUUUGAAGAUAUGGUGCACUCGGGAACAGAAGCAGUAAUGCUGCGGUGUGCGGAUACUUCAGAUUUGUUUAGCCAUCAGUACACAGAACCAGUCUAGCAAUGCAAACUGUCAGCCUUUCCAGGUGCAGAGCUCACAGCAGCAUAUAUUUGCAGCUUGAACAUGAGGAAAGACGGUUUGGGAAAAAGAAGAAAAUGGCUGCCUCAGAUGCAAAUACAGCCCUCAAGCUGCUGAUUGUAACUGGCCCCAAACUGUCAAAGUCCUGGAAGCAACACUGUAUGCCCAAAAUAGAGAGGCAAAGGUUGGAUUGCUAAACCGGAACAGAUUGGUAGGGUUAUAUCAUUCAGUGUCUGACUGCAUCUCAGUGGUCUGAUUUUGAGAUGUCUAAUGGGAACUAGGCUGCUGUUGGGGCAAAGAACUUCUGUGCCUUUUACAGCCCUCGUUGAGUAAUAUUGCACAGUGCCUUGCACUGCCAAAGGAAACCUUCCCCUUACUUGUAGCUGAUCUCGACUUGUAAACUCUAGCAGUCCUUGUCAGAAAACAUAACUAAUAUUCAGGUGUUCUGGGGAAAGAUAAUAGUCCUUGCACAGGAUUCCUUCAACAAAAUUUUAUUAAUAAUAAAUGAUCAUCGCUACCUCUCAAUUAAAUUCUGUCUUGGGUGUUCUCCAAAGGUUUCCACUGUAAGAAUAUUUCAUUACUAAUUUAUCAUUCUGAAUUUCUUUGAUUCUUUCUACAACCAUAUCUUUUCCACCCAGCAAACUUAUGAACAACUUGGUAGGAUGGACAGAUGUAUCUUCCUCUCUUAUUUCAGCAGGAGAAUUUAAUAUGUGUUUCUUCAAAAGACUGAAGUUACUUCCCAAAAUUUUUUUUGAAUACCAGAUAGUUCUGAACAUAUUUUAAGUGUAGAGCACAGGUGACAUUAAGUAAUGUGGGCUCAUCAUUUCAGUGGAGUUAUACUGAUUUCCCCAACUAAUGACUUGCUUCAGUUUUUUUCAAUUCAUUAUUUUUUGGCUGAGAGGGCUUUAGUCAACAUGCCUUAAAAGAAGAUCUUUGUAUUGUAAGAGUUCAUCAGCACCUACUCUAAAUUUUUUCCAGUUAAAGUUAUCUGACCUUUUUUUGUGGCCAGCAAACUACUAUGAUAGGAGAGAGCAACUGGAAAAGCUGGAAUGAACUCCAAGUGCAACUAAAACUCUAAAAUCACACAUUUCCCUGCAUGUAUUCUAGAACCUAAACUAAACGGAGGCCUUGAGGGACAGGGCUUAAAGGAGGGAGGAGGAGCUGGGAAACAAAAUGUUUCAUGUGUGGGAGAGCAGCCUUGUUGCAGAGGCAUAAGGCAUCACUUUUCACUGGCCACAGAAAAAUGAGAUUGCUUUAGAACAAAUGUUUCUGCAACAGUAUGGAUAUUUUCAUGAUAAUAAUGCAUUAUUCUUGGGUUUUAUCUGUUUAGCUGCUGAACUAAGUCUGCCUCACAAUAAAGAUAGACUAAGUUUGAAAGGAAGCUGACAAGCACUUAACAACCUUUGGUUACUGGCUAUUUACCAGGCAUCAAUGUCUCCAUGACCUCAGUGAAAUCAGAUGCCACAGAAGAUCAUAGAAGAAUAGUAUAUAAAUAGCUUGACCAAAUUGAUUAGAUGGGUUGCACUUCUGCAAGAGUGGAUGUUACCUUUGUUUAAAAAAAAACCCUCAUAAUCACAAUUUAUUUGCAUUUUUACUGAUAAUUUCUGCAAGGGAGUGAGUGAGAGGGACUGUUUUAACCUACCCAGAUGGAUUGGGGAUGGAGCAUUUUAGGAAGGCAGCACUGGGAGGCUUUCAGUGUGGCUGACAGCAGGGGUGCGUCCAUUUUCUAUUUGAAGAGCAUCUAUAAUGCUCUUAACCUAGCAUUUUUUGAGAGAAUGCAGGAUGUACAUUAAAAAAAAAGAUAAUGAUUUUAUUUUUCUUUUUAAUCCAUCAAGGUUGUUUGGGAAAUAAUUUCAAAACCUUUGAAAACAAAACAGGCUGAUCAGAAGUAACUUCUAUUAUAGCUGGUAUUAGUAUUAUAAUGUUCAUUAAUUCAUUUGUUUAACCCCCUUCCAAAUCUGUUUCAUAUCCUGUUAGAAAGAGCACAAGGGGCCAAGAGUGCUUUUACAUAAUGUUUUCAGGAUCUUACCAUGUCUGAAAGUUUUGAAAGGCCUUUUAAAAAUUAACAAAUAUAAACCAAAAGGUAACAAGGAAAAACACUUGGCUAUUAUGUCUAGUCUACCAAAAUAUUUUGCUAAACUUGUGCAAAAAUAAUAUAUUUUAACUGGAAAUUUUUAGAUUAAUAAGUAAUAUAGUUUAGUAAGUCUUUAGUGUGUAGUGCUUUCUAUCGAAGAAUUUUAAUUUAAAAAAAAAUGAAUUUGUGUGGUUAGUUGCUGACAGGGUUUUUUUUAACCACAUUUAAUACAUAAAUCUGUCCUGAGGUCUCCUGUAAUCUCAUAUUUCCUUUUCAUAAUUCCUAAUGCACUGAAUUUAAGAAAAUGUGAACAUAGGAAAAAAAACUCAAAAAAGUAAGAAACUUGUGUAAAAACAAAUAGUGAGAAUGUGUAGCUAGAGAUGUUGAGAAAAAUGCAUCACAUUUCCAAAGCUUCAGCUGCAUUCAGAAAAUACAUGUGCUUUGUGUGGUGGCUUUCUAUUCUUUCAGUGUAUCAUUAAUAAUAGUGGUACUACUCCUGAGGCAGGCCUUCUGAAAAUGGUGUUGCUAGCAUUUGGUACAAUAGGUGGACAGCAUGGUGCUAGAGGAAAAAAUCUAGGAACCGCUCCUGAAAAAAUUGCAUUCAAACAUUGCAAUCUGAUAUGCCUUAAGAUCUUAGCUGUUUUUAAGAUUUCUUUUAUCUUAGUAUUUUUUUACAGGACCUGGUAGUGCAGUAGGUGCUUCAGGGCCCUUAUGAAAACAAUGCAGACAAUGGGAACAAAGAGGACACAGGUGACACCUAAAGGUGUGGUUACUGCAGCAAUGUCAAGGGUAAUUAUACACAAAGAGAAGUUUGUUUAUUUUGUGUGGCCACUGUAGUAAAUGCCCAGCUUAACAGAACAGAUGAAUGAGAAGGAGCCUAGCAAAGUGGGCCAGCAGAAAAGCUUGUACUCAAUAGAAGAUGUAGAAAAAGUCCCAAUGGUCCAUUUUAGAGAAGCAGAUGAACAGGGUGUUGAGAUGGAUAUCAUAGACAGUGUAAGGGAUAUGAGGGGAGCUGCAAGUGAGGCAAGUCUGGUAAGUAAGGCUACUAUCUAAAAGAUAUUAAGACAUAGGAAAGGAAAACUUGGUCCUCAUUAACCUUAGCCCUCAUUAACCUUGGCAGGAUCCCUAACACUUUGUCAAAGUAUUAGUUGAUUUAAUUAAGUUAAUCCUUCAUCUCUCCCAGUAAAUGACUCAACCUGGAAGAAACCAUAGUUCAAGCAAAUUUCUGUUUACCAGUCCGGAGCAUCUAAUUGGCAAAAUAUGCCACUAGCAACAGUUUAGUCAAAAAUCUCAACUGGCACUAGAAAUAAAACAAUAUUAUCAGACUGAAAGAUCAGUAGACCUCUGGCAUCCCUCUGUGAAAAAAAGAUUUCACUUGCCUAAAGAACUGAUUGAUGGUAAUGAUCCUAGAUUAAGAAGAUCAGGAAUUGUGAGCUUUCAAGGAGGUGAAAGGCCAAAUGGUGAGAUUAGGACUUGGCAGUUUAAUUGAGAGAGGAAGGAGGAAAUAGGUGGUAAAAGGGAAGAAGCAGGAAUCAGGUUUAAUUCUGUAUAUGAAGGAAGUAUGACCUACAAAGGUCAGUCACUGAUAAUUUUGGAUACUUCUUCAUAGCAGAGCUUGCAUGUUUAUUUCCAUCACAAAUAUUCAGUAAUUGAGAGGCAAUCAAGUCCUCUUGCAAGGACUUAAAUUUAGAAUAGAAACUGGAUACUCUGAAGUGUAUUGAUUGUGAAAUACAUGAUGGCAACUAGAGAAAAGCUUUGCUGGACCCCAGGUUUGUUCUGAGUUUUUCACCAAAGGUAUGUGUGGACGUUCCUGAGGAUACCUUGUGGGUAGUAUGUAUAAGCAGAACAUUAUGGUCACUGUUUUACCUCAGAUUAAUAUCUCUCUAUAUCUCAGGCUUUUUUGAAAGAGGAAAAGUGUUUAGCUAAAUUUUUCAGGAAAUGUCAACUCGGAUCAGUGCGAAAUAGCUCUGCCUGCUCCCUAUGUGGACCAAGAUAAUAAGUGUUUCUCUUCAGACAUCAAAUACAGCUCUCAAAAAAAAAAGAAUGGUAUGGCUCUGCCUUCAUGGCUCCUUGCAAUUCAGUUAUUUUAUUUAUUUUUUUCCUAUUUGGUGUUUCUUCCCUUCUGCUGGCUUCCCAUCUGCAGGAUUCUGCCAGAAUGCUGUUUCUCUUUCUUCCCACCUUUCUGGUCUGUGCCAAAGGUAUUUCUGCUGUUGCAGAUCCCCUUCUCAAGAUAAAAGUGACUAAAACUGCUUUGAUCUUGACUGGGCAGAGCCACAAGCCUUUCUGCCUCAGGGUACAUGGUUUACAGUGGCUUGUGCUAACAGUGGGAUAGGGAGGAGAAAUGCACCUGAGAAGUUCUGUCCUUAUGGGCCAGUCUCACUACAGAUUUCAUUCAUGGAAAAGUUGUAGCUCAUAGCACAGAGAGUCAAACAUCCUUGAGAGAGAAAAUUGCAUUCAAAUUGGUAGAUCACAAAUUGGUGAUCUACUUUCUCACCCAUCUUCAAUAUUCAGAACUGCCCAGAGAAGGAAGUAUGUAAGAACAGGAAGCAUCUAAGUCAGUGGAUAUACUUUGUACUAAUGUAUAGAAGCAGCCAAACUUAGUCUGGACAUCAGGUUUUCAUCUUUUGAUUAUCCAUAUUGAGCUAACAUAGAUACAAGAAACUGAGCAGAAUUAUAUUAAAUUGUGGUUUGUGAAAGCCACCAAGGGAUUAUAAUAACUUUAACUGAAGGCAUUAUUGCAAAUCUGAAAUGGAUGCAUAAUCUGUGAUGAAUGCAUGAUAUAAGUUAACUUCUAGUCAAGCUGCAAAGAGUCAGAGGGGUUGGUUUUUUUUACAAAAACACAAAAAGAGAGAGAUUAUCCAACAUGCAGCAGCUUUUGCUUACAGAUGUACAGGGCUCCAUUUUAUUCCCCAGCAUGACAGCAAAGUUAAUAUCUAUAAUGAUUCCCAUUAUCAAAGCAACAUUUGCAGAGGUGGCAGUAAAACAUCACCUUUUCUUUCCUACUAGACAGGAAUCCUUUCACUGGUUUCCUAAUUGGUUUUAUGCACCUCCAGAGUCAUUUAUUUGUAACCAGAACAUAUGGAUAGAAGUUGUACCGUGUCUCUUCACUAAACAAGUUCCUAGGAAAUCAGAGUACCAGUGUAAAGGCUGUACAAAUGCACUUUUAAAAGAAUUGUCAGCCAAGGAAGGGGAAUUUCAUACAAAAGAAAAGUAAGUCCCCCUAAAUGGACAUGAGCUGGCAAUGUGUGGUCGCAAUGUGCACUUGCAGCCCAGAAAGCCAGUUGUAUUCUGGGCUGCAUCAAAAGCAGCAUGGUCAGCAGGUCAAAGGAAGCGAUUCUCCCCCUCUCCUCCACUCUCGUGAGACUCCACCUGGAGUGCUGCAUCCAGCUCUGGGGCCCCCAGCACAGGAAGGACGUGGACCUGUUGGAGCAAAUCCAGAGGAGAGCCACCAGGAUGAUUAGAGGGACAAAGUACUUCUCCAAUGAGGAAAGACUAACACAAUUGGGUUUGUGGAGCCUGGAAAAGAGAAAGCUAAAUUCUUUACUGUGAUGCUGGUGAGGCACUGGAACAGGUUGCCCAAAGAAGUUGUGGAUGUCCCAUCCUUGGAAAUGUUUAAGGUGAGGUUGGAUGGAGUUCUGAGCAGCCUGGUCUAGUGGAAGAUGUCCCUGGCCAUGGCAGAGGGACUGGAACUAGAUGAUCUUUAAGGUCGUUUCCAACCUAAACCGUUUUAUGAUUCUAAAACUUGUUUUCCUUUAUUCUUGUCAUAUCAGCCUCCCUAUUGCAGCUACUGCUCUGCAUCAAAACAGGUGAUGUUAAUCUACACCUAGAAGAGUAAUGGUGCUUCAUCAGGGCUCUGCUGCCAGUUUUUCUUACAAAUCUGCACCAUAGCUGUAUAAACCCAUUCUUUGGGGGUUGUUCUCCACAGCUGUUGUCCUGGCAAGGGGUACAUUCCUUCCAACUUUGGCCUGACCUGCAGUUUUCCACCUCAAACUCUGUUGGCUGAAGUAGCUCGAUAUUGCCCAGCUCUCCAGGUGAUGUGGUUCACAGCACAUCUCUCAACACUUCACAGCAGUCCAGUCCACAUAAACACACACACGCACGCACGCACGCACGGUUUACCAAGCGUUAGGUGGCAAAAUAGAAACAUGUGGUCCCUUCUGAGUCUCUGAGUUGCUUCUAUUUAUCAACUAACCUUUCUGAUGGUCAGAGUAUUUUCUAGGCAUCUUUGUGAAUACCCUUUCCUGCAGGUAUCCUGCAAAACAUCCAUUUCUCUCACUUUUCUGAGAGUCUGGAAUUAAAGCUUUCACUUGCUGUUAAACAACAUUCGGGACAAAACAUUCCCUGGCAGUUAAACUAUUAUAAAUUAUAUAUAAAGGGCCAAGAAGAGCUGAAGACAACUUUGUGUAAUCCCUGUCCAAUAUCCCAGUAGGUAAGACAGCCAGUAAUGAUCUGGGCUGAUGGGCAGCUAGUAGAGCUCAACAAGUAAAAUGGAGUUGUCUAAUUUUCUGUGAAUCAAAGUCAGAUUCUUUGGUUAUUGGAAUUUAGGAAAUAUAGCUUUCUGAAAAAAUGGGGAAAAUGUUUUCAGGUGUGUGCAUUUGAAGUAUUAUACAAUAGACUACAAUUAGUAAUAUAUAAAUUAUAAUAAGUAAAGGAAAAUAUACACUUCUGUGCUGACUGGUCUAAGAUAGUUGGUUUAGAUGUUAUUAAACAACAGCUGUAGAAGCUUUGACCAACUUACUAAUGCAUAAAAUAAAGUUUUCAAGACAUGCUUAAAGGGUUUACAGAGAGCACAUGCCUGUAAAUUUCUGGACUGUAAUUAAGAAGCUCAACUAUGGAAUAAAAAUUGUACGCCUGUCCUAUUUUAUAUUUGGAUGUAUUAUGUUACAGAAUACAAAGUAAAAGAUUGCUAAAGAGCAGUUUCAAAAAGAUUACCAUGAUGUGAAUGAAUAAAUACCUCUCAGAAGCUACA